GAGAUCCAGGUCAUAGCUGGAAAUUUACAUGCCGAGAGAUCCAGGUCAGAGCAGAAAAUUUACAUGCUGAGAGAUCCAGGUCAGGGCUGUCAUGGUUAAUAGAUUCACAGAGUUGUCAUGACUUGAUGCAGGGCUGGAGUUCCACCGUAUUACUCAGCCCCGAGAAAUCGUAACAGGACUGGAAUCCCCCAUACGAGUCAACCUCCGGUAGUAUUUUGCCCGACUUUCCCAACAAUUCUCUUCUGCACCUGAGCCCUACUUGAUAUUUCAGUACUGUCAUGCCCUUGUGCAAAAUAUCAAACAAGAUUACCAGAGAUUAGUAAAUGAAAUGAGCAGAAUUUUAAUAGGAAAAAGAUCGAAAGAUGGAAGUCUUCCCAUCAAACUAGGUUGCAUCAUGGUUGCAUCUCCUAAUUGAAAUACAAUCCAAAAGUUCCAACUUAGAGCAAAAACAACAAACACCGCACAAUUUGAAGCCUAAACCAAUGGGCAUAAUACUAUCAUGCUUUUUUGCUGCCUACGAAAAUUAUAACUUAAUCAAAACUAUGUGACUACUCAGUGAGGCUCAAAUGCCAUAGUUCCACGACAACUUCAAAAAUUCCAAACAAGUUUAGUACUGUCAUGUCAUGUUUAUGGUUUGAAACUCUCUCGUUGUCUUUCAUGCAAACUAACUUGAAUGAUAGCAGUAAAGUUAUUAAAAUGAACUAUGCAAGAUCCACAGCCAGCUGUGAUUAUAUCCCAUACAAACUGCAAUCAGACUACUCUACAUGGCAGAUAUGAUACCUGCAAAUACAUCCCAGUCUUGAGUUUGAUGUGAAUUCGGUUGUCGUUAUUUCUUUCCAAGUAAAAAGCACUCUGCAUAUAACUGAACUACCCUCAACUUGGCAGGUGAUCACCUACAUUUCAAUCCAGCCAUAAUAAGAUGAAAUAGGUGUUGUAGCUUCUUCAGUUCUAUUGACAUUACAGUUAAGGCAGUUCUAAUGAUUUUGCAGAGGAGAAACAUGUCAGCAUUUGAAUACUUCUUCAAUUUAACACAUUCACAAAUGAGAAAUACACUCUUUCAUGCUCAAAUAAAGGCGGACAAGUUUUGGAUGUAUAGAACAGUUUUACUUUGUCAACCGCAACGGCCCCUCUCCCACCAUUGUCAGCGGAAACGUAUUUGUUUCCACUCACUGAUUUCAGUUGGACCUCUGUUCCAUCCUACAAUGCAACAACCAAAAACCUUUAACAGGUAUGCACACUCAACACACGCGCACAGAAGAAACCUGAAACCCCAUUUGCAGAGAGCUAUCUCCAUCAACAAGAUAAACCCCAAUUCUUUCAAUUCUUGAAUAAUGCACAAGCCAUGUUCUACAAUUAAAGUGUUGGGACAUAACUGCUCACCCAAAAAUCAUCAUAAAGUUGCUGACUAUCAAAUGCUCUUCCUGGCAGCAACUGCUCGCAUCCAAAACUACGAGCAAAACGUCAUUUAAAAACACAAUAAUAGACGAACAAAUUAAAUCAUGGAGUAAUUUGAAACUCGAUAUUGACGAGUUUGUAAGCUUGGACCAUUAUAUUACACCAUGAGUAAGGAGAAGAUUCAUUUAUU
rnacentral:lncRNA from 1 species